rnacentral:rRNA from 1 species
CCCUUAGAUGUUCUGGGCCGCACGCGCGCUACACUGUUCGACGCAGCGAGUCUUAACCUUGACCGAAAGGUUUGGGUAAUCUUCAGCAAAGUCGAACGUGAUGGGGAUCGAUCAUUGCAAUUAUUGAUCGUGAACGAGGAAUUCCUAGUAAGUGCAAGUCAUCAGCUUGCGCUGAUUACGUCCCUGCCCUUUGUACACACCGCCCGUCGCUACUACCGAUUGAAUGGUUUAGUGAGAUCUCUGGAUUGACGCUGGCUAGGGGGCGACCCUUGGCCAGACUGUUGAGAAACUGCUCAAACUUGAUCAUUUAGAAGAAGUAAAAGUCGUAACA